CCCAGCCAUUACCUACGAGAGUGCUCUCCGUUACCUUCCACCUUCCCCUCCUCCAGCCUCACCAUCACAUAUCUACCUUGUAUCUAUAGAUUUCCCCAUUGUGACUAUUUCCUAUACAUGGAAUCAGACAGCACACCUGAGUUCUAGCAUCUUCCAACAGCUCCAACUUCUGGAAGGGAUGGGGGUCACCAAAGUGUUGGGGCAGGUAGACCAGUUACGGAUGUGACUUUUGUAGGCUGACAGCCCUACAACCUUCAUCCACAGCCCAGACCUAUGCCUAGGGGGAGAGAAGGGCUUACCCUCUCCAGCCUUGUGCUCUUGGUCUGUGAAAUGGAGAGACAGCCUUUCUCUCCCAGGGAUGGAGCAGUUCGUGACAAAUGUCUAGUCAGGUGCCUGCUGCUCAGUAUAUCAUAGUUUACGGAUGACAGGGGUCCAUGCAAUCCAAUGCUUGUUUGAUCUUGACCUAGGCACCUAUUAAGGGUGAAAUGCUCUUCUAGAUGCUGGAAACAGUGAAAGGGACAUGAUCCUGUCCAUGCAAACCAUUCAUCUAGUGCAGAGACAGACAAGUUAGCUCAUCAACAGGACACAUACAGGGUGAGAUAGAUCAGGAAAGACAACAGCACAGCACAGCAAUGAUGGAGGAAGCCUGCUACUUAGAUGGUGUCAGACUUAUUUCUGUACUGAGAGUAGAGCCCAGGACUUUGCAUAUGAUAAGUGCUCUGUGACUGGCCUAUCUCCCCAGACCUGUCACUGAUUUUGAAAAUGGCCUAGCCUGUGCUCAAACUUGGGACUCUUCUGUCUUGGCCACCAGAGUAGCUGGGAUUGCAGGUGUGCAGCACCACGUCUGGCUACCACAAUGGCUACUUUGAACAGAAGGGCUUGCUGCUACCCUCCCCACAGAAGAGAAUGUCUUCUGCAAACUGCAAUAUGAGAUAGAGUGAAGGGCUCUCAGACCCCAAGCCGGGGCAGGGGACUUAGCAUCUAUGACUUCAUGUGUUGGGUUACCAAUUUAUUUCUAAAGUUGGGCCACCUGGCCAGCAACCACCACUAGAGAGCACUCUGUAGAGUCCCUGAAACUCAGAGUGAGCCAGCUUUGGCCCAAGGUGGUGCAGUGAGAAGCAAGAAGACUUUCUUGUGUUCCAAGCUGGCUUCCAGCCAGGUCAGAAUGAAACUUGCAUUGACAGGAGACAAGACCACAGAGUUUAAAAUGCCCAGCAGAGAUCUGGGUUCUGAUGAGCCUGUAGCCCCAGCUGCUGUUGGGUGCAUACCAUUCACACUCUGAGCUUGCCCGUGAAGCUCAGCACAGAGCCCUUCCAACCUCAGGCUCCCUACUGCUGCAUCGCCUCUGACCCCAGCCCAGCAGCUCAGCCAAUUUGCUAUGAAUGGUCACAUAACUCACCCUGCACUGUUUCUGUUUUUUAUUGUGUGUGCUUCUUCUGUGUGGAUGGGCGUGGCUAUGUAUGCCGUGGCAGAUGCUGGGUAGAAGACAGCUAACAGUCAGCUCCCUCCUCCUACCAUGUAGGUCCCCAGGAGCAAACUCAGGGGAUCAGUCUUAGCAACAAACACUCUUAUCCACUGAGCCAUCUUUCACCUGUUUCCUGGCUUUAAAAAGCUCAAUGCUGGGAUUCAAAACUAGGGCCUUUGAAGUACUAGGCAAAUGUCAAUGUCCUACAUCUGUGUUAUAUCCCCUGUCCUCGUAUUUUUGUUGUUUUCUUUUCUUUUGUUUUUCUAAGACUAGGUUUCUCUGUGUAGCCCUGGCUGUCCCGGUACUCGAUCUGUAGACCAGGCUGGCCUCGAACUUGAAGAUUUAUUGGCUUCUGCCUCCUGAGUGCUGACACUGAAGUUAUAUACCACACCACCAUCCAGCUGCAAUAGGUGCUCAUAACUGCCGAGCCAUUUCUCCUGUUUAAGCUUUGACUUUUUAAUCCUCCUGCCUCGGUUUUCCAAGUACUAGUAUUACAGGCAUGUGCCAUCACACCUGGCUUUUUGCCCGACUGUCCUGAAGUCGGUUUCUUUGUCAUCUCCCCAUUCAUUUAAUUAUGACAUUAGUAAGGCAUCCAUUCAUGCACGUUAUCUGUCAUUCAUUCAGCAGACGCUCCCUGAGCACGUCCUCUGUGCCGGGCAGUGUUUGGGCCAGUCCUUGGUAAAAUGCCAGUCUUGUGGAAAGUGUGCAAAUGUGCACAUUGCUGUUUUCUUCCUGAGAGCUGCUUUUCUCCCCCCUCCCCCUCGGUGUGUGUUUGUGGUUGUGGUUUGUUUGCUUUUCUUUCUUUUUUGAGUCAGGAUUUCUCUGAGUAGCUCUGUGCUGCCCUGGAACUUGCUCUGUAGAGCAGGCUGGACUCUGCCUCUUAAGCGCUGGGAUUAAAGGUGUGUGCUCUGCCAUGCCUGGCUUGUGAAUAGAGAACUGGUUUUCAUAAAGGCUAGGUGGGUUGAAUGCACACUGAAGCCCAAACAUUUCUGUGUAUAGUUGCAUGCACAUAACCAUACGUGUUGGAGGUGUGAUAAAGCCUUCCUCCCUGGAAGCAGGUGCCAGUGUUUGGAGAGGGCAGUGUAAGAAGCUCACAGCCCAGGAGCUGUAACCAAGCUUCAGCCCCAAGAAGUCACCUGCCCCGGAUACCAUGCUGGUUCUGCUUCUCCAGGAAGUUUCCUUCUUUCAUCCUGAUGGAGUGAAUCUCUGUCUUCUACAGUCCCAGAGAAGUUUGCCAACACUUCAGAGCACCCCCUGGCUCUUCCCCUUACAGUGGGGUUGGUUAGAAAGCUAGAUGUCUGUCUGUCCACUGGCCUUUCAGGAUCCCUAAAGCAUUUAGAGUAGAAUCCUCCCAAAGCCCCGCUAGGCCUGCCAGGGUGAGCCUCCGAUUGGUCUGAAACUCUGAGUUCCAGACCCAGGGAAUCCUACCUCUGCUCGAACCCAUCAUGAUCUUUCCCGCUUGCUGCUUUGGGAGCCACUGGAAUCUCUGCCUGGGACAGCGUCCACUGUCCGUCUUUACCCACACACUCUCAACUUCUUUCUCUGGACUUCUAUUCUCUAUGAUUUGCUUCAGAUGUGGCUGGGUUACCUCCUUUGGGAAUGCCUGUUCCUUGCUGUCCUGACUACCACAGGGUAGGCACUCUGUAAGUGUGCAGGAUUUUCACUGGCCUCUCGUGCCCUGAGGGUAAUGGGUAAGGGUGAGGGCAGCUUUAGCUCAGACAUCAGCCUGGAGGUGAGCAUUUGCUUGGGGCUCUUGGUUAGAUUCCUAGUAGCACAGACCUGCAGUAGUGAUGUGGGGGGAAGACGGCAGGAGGGGAAAGCCUUUUUCUGCUCUCCGUUCCUGCAGUGCCAUGCCCUGUCCACUCAGGCUGUGUUCACACCAGACUGUAGUGGGUUAUGAUUUAUACAGUCUCCUAGAAGCCACUGCCUGGAGCACAGUUAAGGCUGGCUUCUCUGUAGCUGCUAAUGAAAGACUAGGAAAAUAGUUUGCAAUAGGUUGGACAAUCUAGGUUCCAACCUUGCCUCUGUCACUUCCUAGCCACUGGGCUGUUUCUUUAUCUGUAAAAUGGAAUUGAGAACAUACCUACUCUGAAGGUUGUUGCCAGAAAGUUGCUGCCUUUCUUAAUCACUCACUACAUGAGAUGGGUUUUGCUAUAUUGCCCAGGUUGGUCUGAAACUCAUGGUUUCAAGGGAUUCUCCUGCCUCAGUUGCCCCAAGAAGCCAGAGACUAUAGGCGCUUGAUGCCUGGCACACAGUACACUGUCAGCAUCAAGGAACUUGAGAUUUUAGCUAGCAGGGAUCCUGCUCUUAUAAACCCAGAAACCAUGUUUUGUAGUAUUUGUUAAGAAAAACUCAAAAAGUUUGUGUAGUUCAUUUUUAAGUCACAGGCCAUGAAGACACCCCACCCCACCCCCACACACACACAUUUAAUGAGUGGUUGAGGAAAGGCACAGAACUAGGGAGGUUCAGAGGCACAAAGACCCUCGCAAUCCGCCUCCUGGGCCAGUGAGGAGAACCAGACUAAUCUGCAACUGCAACGCAGCUAGGCACAUGGCAGGGCUGCCCAUAAGAAGAGUGUAUCUCAGGGCAGGAGUUUGGGGGGUGCCAUGGAAGAGGCAGAGUGCUUGAGGAAGCCUGGGAAGGAUAAAAGGCAAGAAGACCACCGCUCACUCCCCUCUGGAAAGUGACACUCACUGGGGUGACAACCCCCAGACUGAUCUCUGGGGCUGGGAUCUGGAUGAAUGCAAACAGCAGACCAGAUCUCUUCUCUAUCAGACCUGUUCAGGGUACAUAUCAGACCUUCCACAGAGCUCCUGAGCCUCUGGAUGGGUGGACCAUCCAAAGGAAGACACAGGAGACAAGCAUUAACAGAUUGCCUACCCUUUCACACACACCUGCUUCCCUCGUCCAUCGGUGCUGCAGCUAAGGGAUAGGAGCCUGGGAAUCAAGCCCUUGUCUUUGGGGAGGGGAGGGGUAGUCUCCAGAUCCCUCUGGAGGUGUGGUCUCUGGAGACUGCAUCUUCAGCCUGUUGGUUGGGACUAUAUGAUCCCCCCUUAUUCUUCGGAUAAGUGUUCUAAGGGGGGUGACCCUCUGACUUCUAGACUGUUACCCCCUCACACCACGGAGAAACCCCUGGAAAGGAGCUUUAAGGAGUGAGAACUCAAGAGAUAAAGAUGUAACUGGAAGGAAGCUUGGGUCCUAAAAGAUCCUGGAUUCUCCUGGUUACUCUUGGGGAACUCAGCCAAGCUUAGAGUGGCCUCAUUCAGGUCCAGAGUCCAGGACCGAGAUGUGGGUGCCUGGCCCUGGGGGGGGGGGGCUACCGGCAAAGGGGUCAAGCUGAGGGAGCAGGCGGGGCAUCCGUAAUGGAGGGUGCUGAGUGGGGUGGGAGGGCACAGGGUCCUGCCGGUGCAGAGUGGGGGGAGCGGCCCCCAGGGAGGGGCAUGCUAUGUCUUUAAGAGCUGCCUGAGCGCAGGUUGCAGCUGCCUGGCCAGCCCGAGAGAGACAGCGGAGAUUCAUUACCCGUCGACACAAUGACCAUUGAUGGCCCCGUGGCGUUAUUCAAAUCCAGUACCAAUUGCAGCCGAGCCCCUUUCUCCGCGCCAGGCCCGUAUUGUUGGAGCGGCCCACUAAAAGCCCGCCCCGGCCCCAAGCCGCCAGAGGCGCCCGCUUGGGUUCAGCCCUGCGCCUCGCCAGCACGCCGGCUCCCAGUCCGGCUCCCUGGGCGCUGCAGGUGACCCGGCGGCACAUUCCGGCGCUCCCCGCUGCCCAGGCUACCACCACCCGCGACUCAGCCACAAGGAAGCAGAGAGCGCCUGAGCCGUCCCCCGAAACAACAAAAAACAAACAAACCCGAAAUCAACCCGCAUAUCCCAAACCAGCCAACCAACCCCUCCCACAAGCUCCUCUGGACCGACUGAUGGGCUGUGCUUCCUCCCGCGGCUGCCAGAAACCCAGAAGCUGGGGAAUGAUGCGCUCCAGCCGGGCAAUCGCUACGGCUUUGGAAAUACGAACUUGGACAAAUCAAUCCUUUUCAUUAAAAACAACAACAACAACAAAAA